UCGACGCGGCCAACAGGUCGCUACGCAGUCCCUCAUCGGUCGGCGCUCCUAACCGGUUGCUCCGAGCCGCGCAGAUUCGCUCGAUCGAAAACAGUUCCGCUCGGGGUGACGCGAGCCCAGGAAGUGACCUUGGAUUCUUUCUUCUUCUUCUUUUUUUUCGACCGAUAAAUUACACCCGGCGCGACAAGGAUUGGAUGGACCCGACCCCGUGGAAGCAGCGGCGCUACCGGUACUUCUACCUGUGACAUCGAAACCCCCCGUGCCAAAGUAACGGCCGAUCUUUUGCCGAUCUCUUCUGUUUAUCGUCAUUCUCUCCCCGUUUUUUGAAACAACCAUCCGAGAGAGCGACCAUGUUCGGACAAGUGCAACCAGACUUUUUGGAUCCCCAGCCCGAGAACGAGAACAAGGAUGGCUUCGACGCGAGGAUCGUGCGCCCCAAACUCAGGACUUUGAGCGACAACGCUGAUUACAUAUUCAACCAGAACCGAUACAAAAGCCCGCAGUACGAGGAAACGUUCGGCCGAUCGAUCGAAAACCCCGAGGAGUUUUGGGCGGAGGUCGGCCAGUGCAUCGAGUGGAGCAAACCCUGGCGCAAGGUCUUGGACAACUCCAACGUGCCGUUCACCAAAUGGUUCGUGGGCGGGGAAACAAACGCCUGCCACAACGCGAUCGACCGUCACGUGGCGGCUGGUCUCGGGGCAAAAACGGCCCUGAUCCACGACAGCCCGAUGACGCAGACGGUGCGCAGGGUGAGCUACGACGAGCUCCUCGACAAAACGUCCCGCCUGGCCGGGGCUUUGAGCGAAUUGGGCGUCGGCCCGGGUGACCGAGUGCUCAUCUACAUGCCCGUCAUACCCGAGACCAUCAUCGCCAUACUGGCCACCGCUCGCAUCGGUGCCGUCCACUCCAUCGUCUUUGGCGGGUUUGCAGCCAAGGAACUGGCGACGCGAGUCGACCACGCCGAGCCCAAGGUCAUUAUAGCCGCCAGCUGCGGUCUCGAGCCCAACAAAGUUGUAAGGUACACGGACAUGCUGAACGAGGCGAUGACGCUGAUCUCGACGACGCCCCGUUGCGUCGUAUUCCAGCGCAGGAACAUCUGGGUGGCGCCCCUGGGGCCCGACCAGCUCGACUGGGACGUGAUAUGCGACAGGGCCGAGCCCCACCCUUGCGUCCCCGUCGACGCCAAUCACCCGCUCUACAUCAUGUACACGUCCGGCACCACAGAUAAGCCCAAGGGCAUCCAGAGACCGACAGGUGGGCACAUAGCGACCCUGUGCUGGACGAUGAAGACGAUCUACGGCAUGGAGAAGAACUCGACGUGGUGGACGGCGUCGGACCUCGGCUGGGUCGCCGGGUUGUCGUACAUGUGCUACGGGCCCCUGCUCUGGGGAGCCACGAGCGUCGUCUACGAGGGCAAGCCCGACAGGACACCCGACGCCGGCCAGUACUUUAGAAUAAUCGACCAGCACAAAGUUAACGCGCUAUUCACCGUCCCCACGGCGUUCAGAGUGCUGAGGAGAGCCGACCCGGAGACGCUCCUCGGAAGGAAAUACUCGACCAAGUCUUUGAAGGCGAUUUUCGUGGCGGGCGAGCACUGCGACUACGAAGCCAAGGCCUGGGCGGAGAAGACCUUCAAGGCGCCGAUCCUGAACCAUUGGUGGCAGACCGAGACCGGCCACGCCAUCACCGCUUCGUGUCUGGGCCUCGGGCACAGCACCAGUCCGCCAAAGUACAGCACCGGCAUGCCCUUCCCGGGAUACUUUGUUGAGAUACUGAGAGAAGACGGCAGCAAGGCGUCCGACCACGAGCUCGGCAGGAUCGUCAUCAAGCUGCCCCUGCCCCCGGGCACCAUGUCCACCCUCUACAAGGCGCCCGACAGAUUCAAGGACAUCUACUUCUCCAAGUACCCCGGCUACUACGACACGAUGGACGCGGGCUACGUCGACGAGUUUGGGUACGUAUACGUGACGGCGCGGGACGACGACGUGAUCAACGUGGCCGGGCACCGGCUGUCGACUUCCGCCCUCGAGGACGUCAUUCUCAGCCAUCCGGAGGUCGUCGAUGCGGCGGUGGUUGGCGUGCCCGAGCACACCAAGGGCGAGAUACCCCUUUGUCUCUACGUCACGAGGGACGACGCUCAGAUGAACGAGAGGGAAAUCAACAACGAGCUGAUUGCACGGGUGAGGGAGCUGAUCGGACCGAUCGCCUCGUUCAAGGUCGCAGCGUCGGUCAGAGCGUUGCCGAGGACGCGUUCUGGCAAAACGUGCCGAAAGUCCAUUGCGGACCUCGCGCGCUCGAAGCACGUCAAGAUCUCAAGCACCGUUGAGGAUCCGACGGUCUAUCGAGACAUCAAGGCAGCGCUGCAGAAACUUGGAUACGCGAGAAUGGCGCCUGAUCCCCAAUAGAAAUGAAAAGAAAAAUAAUCAAACAUUCUCAUCAAACGUCUCAAUAGUAGUAGACUCUCUAAGACUUACCCUGCACAUAUGAACAUUAUGAUUAGCAUCGAAUCGGAUGCGUAAGAGGAAGCUCGUCAUGUCCGAGGUUUUA
rnacentral:misc_RNA from 1 species